rnacentral:rRNA from 1 species
UCGAGCGGACAGAUGGGAGCUUGCUCCCUGAUGUUAGCGGCGGACGGGUGAGUAACACGUGGGUAACCUGCCUGUAAGACUGGGAUAACUCCGGGAAACCGGGGCUAAUACCGGAUGGUUGUUUGAACCGCAUGGUUCAGACAUAAAAGGUGGCUUCGGCUACCACUUACAGAUGGACCCGCGGCGCAUUAGCUAGUUGGUGAGGUAACGGCUCACCAAGGCAACGAUGCGUAGCCGACCUGAGAGGGUGAUCGGCCACACUGGGACUGAGACACGGCCCAGACUCCUACGGGAGGCAGCAGUAGGGAAUCUUCCGCAAUGGACGAAAGUCUGACGGAGCAACGCCGCGUGAGUGAUGAAGGUUUUCGGAUCGUAAAGCUCUGUUGUUAGGGAAGAACAAGUGCCGUUCAAAUAGGGCGGCACCUUGACGGUACCUAACCAGAAAGCCACGGCUAACUACGUGCCAGCAGCCGCGGUAAUACGUAGGUGGCAAGCGUUGUCCGGAAUUAUUGGGCGUAAAGGGCUCGCAGGCGGUUUCUUAAGUCUGAUGUGAAAGCCCCCGGCUCAACCGGGGAGGGUCAUUGGAAACUGGGGAACUUGAGUGCAGAAGAGGAGAGUGGAAUUCCACGUGUAGCGGUGAAAUGCGUAGAGAUGUGGAGGAACACCAGUGGCGAAGGCGACUCUCUGGUCUGUAACUGACGCUGAGGAGCGAAAGCGUGGGGAGCGAACAGGAUUAGAUACCCUGGUAGUCCACGCCGUAAACGAUGAGUGCUAAGUGUUAGGGGGUUUCCGCCCCUUAGUGCUGCAGCUAACGCAUUAAGCACUCCGCCUGGGGAGUACGGUCGCAAGACUGAAACUCAAAGGAAUUGACGGGGGCCCGCACAAGCGGUGGAGC